rnacentral:tRNA from 1 species
GGAUUAUGGCUCAGGGAUAGAGUGCUUGCCUCAUGUGCAUGAGGCACUGGGUUCGAUUCUCAACACCA